ACCUACUCAGAAUCUAGCAGCUCUGAACUACAACAGAAGCCUUCUGUUAGGUCAGUCUCCUGGAGGCCAGAUUGUCACCUUAGGAGUCUGUCUGAGAGCUGCCCACCUGUGUCCUGACUGAGCUGCUACUUCCUAACAGCCAGCUCUGCUACCCAUCACCAAGUGGUGCCCUGCCUGACUUCCAACACACUGUGGGUCACUAGAGUUGAAUGGGAAAGAGCAGAGACUGGGGAAGAGGGCACAGCUAGCAACAAGACAUGUCAUCACCCUGUUCUUGCUCAUCUCUGGGUACUGUGUGCUUCAGGAAGCCCAAACAAGGGUGAAGUUCAGCUGAAGUGUCUAACCAGCCUCCUCUCUGAUAUGCAAAAUUAUGAUGACUUGGAAAGCUCAAAGAGAAGUGUCUGGAAUCAGAAUUGCUUGGUGGAAAGGCAAAGCAGGAGGACCCACAUUGGAUUAUAAACCUCUCUGGAAGAAAAUCUUACUCAGGAGGCAAACAGACUUCUUCCCAUGAACACUAGGCUAGAAACAACCCAUUAAACCCAUCAAGUGGAGAAUAGGUAAGCUGAAAUACAUUAAUACAUAAUAUAUUACACAAGAGUGAAAUAAACGAGUUAAAAAAUGCAAGUUUGACAGGUUGUGAUGGCAUAUGCCUUUAAUCCCAGUACUCGGAAGGCAGACACAGGUGGAUUUCAAAAUUCUAAGACAGCUUGGUCAAAGUUUCAAGAUAGCCAGGAUUACGCAGAAAGACUCUGUCUCAAACAAAACAAAACAAGCAAAACAAAUAAAACCCUUCUAGUUGCCUUAAAAACAUAGUUUGAUAAUAUUUAUAGACAAAGCAGCCUACUGAAAUUAUAGAUUAGAUUCAACUACAUAUAAAAUUAAUCAAGUGUGUAGCAAAGUUAUAAAAGCAAUAGCUCACAUAAACCAAGUGUUGUGUUUACUUUUGGAAGAAGUAAUUUGGGAGGCCUUGGCCUACCUUGUGUACUUUGGACAGAAGCUCUGAAGGUACUUAGCACUUUAGAAUCUCUCUGUUUACUUUGCAAGUUGACAGCAUGAACAUGGGAGAACAGGGCCUACAAAUGAGGCAGAGAAAAGUCUCAUGACACAGCCAACUUUAUUCAGUGCAACAGACAAUUUAUACUCUUAGGGUUAAGAAGAGUCACCUGAGUAAAGUGUACAGUCACAAGCACAGGCUGCUCUCAGCAAAAUCAUGUUUCUCCAUAGAGACAUAUAAACAAAUACUAGCCAGUUGUAAUGAUAAUAUGAUGUAAACUUGCUAUACCUGGGAGGGGCAUGAAAGCACAUUCCAGGGACAACCCAUGUUAUAGAGAAACAGAAAUUAUAAGACUCUUGUCUUGCUUACUUGGAGUUUCCUCACAAAAUCUCAGAAAUCUUCCCAUG